rnacentral:lncRNA from 1 species
CAUGGCACCACUUGGCAAGCCAUGCUGUGGUAGGCGUCUCACAUAUAACGUAGAGGAAGAUGGGCAUGGAUGUUAGCUCAGGGCCAGUCUUCCUCAGCAAAAAGAGGAGGAUUGGCAGUAGUUAGCUCAGGGCUAAUCUUCCUCAAAAAAAAAAAAAAAGAUAAUCAAGGUGAGAGAUGCUGGCAGCUCAGUCACAGUGGUGGCCCAGGAGCAGCUAAGAAGCGGCACGAUUCCAGUGUAUUCUGAGGAAAGGACCAGUAGGAUUUGCUGGUGAAUUGGAUGUGGGAUGUGAGUGAAGGAGACGAGUCGAAGAGGACUCCAAGAUUUUUGGCCUCAACACUGGGCUGCAGCAAUCAACAGGACAGACCGUAGCUUUCUCUCCUGCAGCUUACCUCCGAGGCAGAACUGACAUGUAUUUUCUUGUUUGGUCUUCCUAACAGUCCUAAGGAGAUUCAAAAGCUGAAAACUGGGCCGGCCUGAUGGCAUCGUGGUUAAGUUCACACACUCCACUUUGGCAGCCCGGGGCUCAUGGGUUCGGAUCCCGGGUGCAGACCUACACACCGCUUGUCAAGCCAUGCUGUGGAUGCGCCCCCAGCCCCAGGAGUGACAACCAAAACUGUCUCCAGACGUUGCCACGUGUCCCUGAGGACCAACCUUGCCC